rnacentral:rRNA from 1 species
UAAAAACCCCGACUUCGGAAGGGGUGUAUUUAUUAGAUACAAAACCAAUGCCCUUCGGGGCUCUUUGGUGAUUCAUGAUAACUAUACGAAUCGCACGGCCUUGCGCCGGCGAUGGUUCAUUCAAAUUUCUUCCCUAUCAACUUUCGAUGUUUGGGUAUUGGCCAAACAUGGUUGCAACGGGUAACGGAGGGUUAGGGCUCGACCCCGGAGAAGGAGCCUGAGAAACGGCUACUACAUCCAAGGAAGGCAGCAGGCGCGCAAAUUACCCAAUCCCGACUCGGGGAGGUAGUGACAAUAAAUACUGAUACAGGGCCCUUUCGGGCCUUGUAAUUGGAAUGGGUACAAUUUAAAUCCCUUAACGAGGAACAAUUGGAGGGCAAGUCUGGUGCCAGCAGCCGCGGUAAUUCCAGCUCCAAUAGCGUAUAUUAAAGUUGUUGUGGUUAAAAAGCUCGUAGUUGAACCUUGGGCCUGGCUGGCCGGUCCGCCUCACCGCGUGCACUGGUCCGGCCGGGCCUUUCCCUCUGUGGAACCCCAUACCCUUCACUGGGCGUGGCGGGGAAACAGGACAUUUACUUU